rnacentral:rRNA from 1 species
CGCGUGAGAAUCUACCUUCUAGAUGGGGACAACCGUUGGAAACGACAGCUAAUCCCCAAUAAGCCGAGAGGUGAAACGGGUAUCCGCUAGAAGAGGAGCUCGCGUCCGAUUAGUUAGUUGGUGGGGUAAAAGCCUACCAAGGCAGCGAUCGGUAGCUGGUCUGAGAGGAUGAGCAGCCACACUGGGACUGAGACACGGCCCAGACUCCUACGGGAGGCAGCAGUGGGGAAUUUUCCGCAAUGGGCGAAAGCCUGACGGAGCAACGCCGCGUGUGGGAAGAAGGCUCUUGGGCUGUCAACCACUUUUCUCAGGGAAGAAGUCCUGACGGUACCUGAGGAAUCAGCCUCGGCUAACUCCGUGCCAGCAGCCGCGGUAAUACGGAGGAGGCAAGCGUUAUCCGGAAUUAUUGGGCGUAAAGCGUCCGCAGGGGGCGCAUCAAGUCUGCUGUUAAAGGUCGGAGCUAAACUCCGGUAGAGCAGUGGAAACUGGUGCGCUAGAGGGCGACAGGGGUAGAGGGAAUUCCCAGUGUAGCGGUGAAAUGCGUAGAGAUUGGGAAGAACACCGGUGGCGAAAGCGCUCUACUGGGUCGCACCUGACCCUCAGGGACGAAAGCUAAGGUAGCGAAAGGGAUUAGAUACCCCUGUAGUCUUAGCCGUAAACGAUGGAUACUAGGCGUGGUUUGUAUCGACCCAAGCCGUGCCGAAGCUAACGCGUUAAGUAUCCCGCCUGGGGAGUACGCACGCAAGUGUGAAACUCAAAGGAAUUGACGGGGGCCCGCUCAAGCGGUGGAGGAUGUGGUUUAAUUCGAUGCAACGCGAAGAACCUUACCAGGGCUUGACAUCCCGCGAAGUUUGGGGAAACUCAGACGUGCCUACGGGAACGCGGAGACAGGUGGUGCAUGGCUGUCGUCAGCUCGUGUCGUGAGAUGUUGGGUUAAGUCCCGCAACGAGCGCAACCCUCGUCCUUAGUUGCCAGCAUUAAGUUGGGCACUCUAGGGAGACUGCCGGUGACAAACCGGAGGAAGGUGAGGAUGACGUCAAGUCGGCAUGCCCCUUAUGCUCUGGGCAACACACGUCCUACAAUGGUCGGGACAAAGGGGAGCGAGCUCGCGAGAGUAAGCGAAUCCCAGCAAACUCGGCCUCAGUUCAGAUA